rnacentral:lncRNA from 1 species
AAAAAAAAAAAAAAAAAAAAAAAAAGGGUCUUUGCUGUCACAAUUAAGCCUCUCAACAUGAGAUCAUCCUGGAUUGUUUAGAUGGGCCCUAAAUAUCACAACUAGAGUUUUGUUGUUGUUGUUGUUGGUUUGUUUCUUUGUUUUUGUGACGGAGUCUCACUCUAUCACCCGGCUGGAGUGCAGUGGUGUGAUCUUGGCUCACUGCAACCUCCACCUCCCGGGUCCAAGCGACUUUCCUGCCUCACCGUCCUGAGUAGCUGGGAUGACAGGUGCCCCCACCACACCCAGCCUAAUUUUUGUAUUUUUAGUAGAGACGGGGUUUCACCAUGUUGGCCAGGCUGGUCUCGAACUCCUGACCUCAAGCGAACAACUAGCAUUUUUAUAAACUACAGAAGACGGUGGCUAUUCAUCUGCCCCCUCUCUCCUGGGUAUUUGCGUGUCAGGUGCAGAGAUGGAGUCUUCUGAGGGCGCACAUCACAGCGUAGACAGAAAGUUGAGGUUGUACAUGCCGCAGGUUCCAGAUGGAAAUCACUAGUGCCUCCUCUUCUCUCUAAUAGGCACACUAGACACAGCAGGUGCAUUUUGGCGGUGGGAUGAGGUCCGACAGUCACCUUUAUUUUUUAUUUAUGUAUUCAUUAGUAUUAUUAUUUUUUGAGACUGAGUCUUAAACUGUCACCCAGGCUGGAGUGCAGUGGCGGCAUCUCGGCUCACUGCAACCUCCACUUCCCAGGUUCAAGGGAUUCUCCUGCCUCAGCCUCCUGAGUAGCUGGGAUUAUAGGCGCCCAUCACCAUGCCCAGCUAAUUUUUGUAUUUUUAGUAGGGACGGGGUUCGCCAUGUUGGUGAGGCUGGUCUCCAACUCUUUUUUUUUUUUUUUUUUUUUUUUGAGACGGAGUCUCGCUGUCUCCCAGGCUGGAGUUCAGUGCCUCAAUCUCGGCUCACUGCAAGCUCCACCUCCCGUGUUCUCGCCAUUCUCCUGCCUCAGCCUCCCCAGUAGCUGGGACUACAGGCGCCCGCCACCACACCUGGCUAAUUUUUUGUAUUUUUAGCCAUGGGGUUUCACCAUGUUAGCCAGGAUGGUCUCAAUCUCCUGACCUCGUGAUCUGCCUGCCUCGGCCUCCCAAAGUGCUGGGAUUACAGACAUGUGCCACCACGCCUGGCUAAUUUUUUGUAUUUUUAGUAGAGAUGGGGUUUCACCGUGUUGGCCAGGCUGGUCUCGAACUCCUGACCUUGGAUGAUCUGCUCGCCUCGGCCUCCCAAAUUGCUGGGAUGACAGACGUGAACCACCGUGCCUGGCCGACAGUCACCUUUAGAAUGUGAACAGUGGACACUGUGUUGGGGUCUCCUACCUGUGCCUGUGAUGUGGACUGGCCCAUCUCGUCAUGGACAAGUAGAGAUGGGGUUUCACCAUGUUGAGCAGUCUGGUCUUGAACUUCUGACCUCGUGAUCCACCCGCCUCAGCCCCCCAAAGUGCUGGGAUUACAGGCGUGAGCCACCGCGCCCGGCCUGAGACGGCUUUCCAAGGCUGCAGAAAUGAAGUCUGCAAUAGCAGAUCCUCUUUGCCUGGGUUUGCACGUGAUCCAGCAAACCACCCACCGACCCGUUGCCUCAUGUGAGACAUCCUCAGGGAACAGCAAGAAUUUUGAAGGUCCCUGAUAAGACAUCUUUGAGGUCAGGCAUAAAUCAUCACUUCACAUCUUGACGGCAAUGCAACGAAGACAAGUAUCUGUCUCUUUGGGUCUGUCUAACAAGGAGCAAAGCCUGGCCUCCCACCAGCAUCCAGACAAUAGUGGAUUCCCUCUCCAUAGAUGUCAAAAAAGAAACAGAUGCUCCCGCAGGUGAAAUGAGCUCUGGUCCACAAUGCAACGCAGGCUGUGCAGAAAAUCAAAGAGGAACCAACCCAGAAGUAUCCCCCAGGACAAAUCAUUAAGGGGGAAAAGGUAAGACACUUGUUCUCACUUUGCCUUCUGCCAUGUUUGUAAGUUUCCUGAUGUCUCCUCUGAGCCUCCAGAAGGAACCAAGCCUACUGAUACCUUGAUCUCAGCUGUUGGCCUCCAGAAGUUCGAGAGAACAGACGUCUGCUGUUUCAAGCCACGCAGUUGUUGGUAUUUUUCUACAACAGCAUCUGAAUCCUAAUGCAUGCCCUCUAACUGUGGGAUCGAUUUUGGGGUGCUGAGAUGUGGCCUGUUUCUCCUAUGACCUUCCUUGUGUUUUUAGUGCUCUUGGAAGAAGAGAGAAUUAAGCAUAGAAUACCCACAGAGAGGAAUCUCUCUUUCUUUUUUUUUUUCUUUGAGACAGAGUCUUGCUCUGUCACCAGGCUGGGAGUUCAGUGGCACGAUCUCGGCUCACUGCAACAUCCGUCUCUCAGAUUCAAGCAAUUCUCCUGUCUCAGCCUCCCAAGUAGCAGGGACUACAGGCGCAUGCCACCACGGCCGGCUGAUUUUUUUUUUUUUUUUUUUUUUUUGUAUUUUUAGUAGACAUGGGGUUUCACCAUCUUGUCUAGGAUGGUCUCGAUCUCCUGACCUUGUGAUCUGCCCACCUCAGACUCCCAAAGUGCUGGGAUUGAGGAAUCUUUCAACCCCUUGCUACCUUUCAAAUUGCAUAGGAACAUUGAAAAGAUGAUAAAAUGUGGAGGCUCAAAGAAAACAAGCAGUGUUCAGCAUUCCGAAAGUGGCCUGGUUUGAGGAAAUUAAUUAUUUGGCAUCUCUGAACAAGUGGUGUUUUGGACUCCUAAACUUAAAGAUAAAUACAUAUUGUUUCCUACCCUUCAUUCGUCUUCCUUCUCCUCGCCCGACCCAGAACUCCAAGAAGGCUAAUCUCUUCUGCAAUAUCGUAAUGGCCUUGAAGCAAUCUAACAUCUGUGUUCUUCCUUUCCUCAUCUAUGAAAUUACUUUCAAAUAACCAAAUUAAACAGGAUCUUCCAUUUGGGCUGGAAUGGUAAGAGCGGCAGAGGACAGCAUGUUCCCAUUUAUAAUAGCAGGCACGGAAAUUCAACCAGACUUUGCUGAUCUAAGAGAUGCUCUUGGAAGACCCCAUUACUUAAAUGAUCUAGAAAAUGUCCUCCCGAGUCAAGGACAAUCCAUGUCCAUUUACCUGUGUUCUGUGAGACAGAUGAAGCCUGGACUUCUGCUAUCCUGCCCUUGCUGGGAAUGAGCAGGGUUGUACCUGCACUCAUCAUGGAAUAAGCACUAAAGAAACAAAGCUACAACAGAAGAUGUCCUCUACUGCAGGGCACCUUACAUUCCAAUCCUCCAAUAUGGCAGCGAGUCAAAAUCUCAAAAGACCUGAGUGCCUUCUGCGUAAGUCCCCGUAGGCUUCUAGUAUUCAUUUUACAAGUAUACUGAUGCUCUCAGUUGAUGCUGAGGGGGUGGCUGUUCAUGAAGAUGAUGGAAUUGGCUUCGGCAGAGGUCUCUCUUUGACCAUCUAGAGGCACUGUUGCUUAUCUAUCAGGAAACGGAGGGAGGCACUGGGAAUUUGAACUCGAGCUCUGGAGUUCUUCCAUGCAGCUGUGUUUACGUAUCAUCAAGCACCGAUUCAUUGCCCGUUGGGACAGAGGAGAAUCAGGCCUGGUCUGGCAUCAUUGCCGGGUGGGUGUGAAAUGCCACUUCUACCGAGACCAACUGGAAAUGAAAGAUCGUCAACAGUCAAAAAGGUCACUGCAUAAAUGCCUGUGAAGUCCAAGUAACUGUCAGAGACAGAAUACGCUUUGCAGCGGAGAGUUUUCCAGGAAAGAAAAAUGGUCUCUGUGAAUGUUCUUUGGGAGGCCACGGAUGGCUUGUUCUGAAGUGAAUGGAAUUGCUUUGCAGAAGACGCAUAGCCAGGCUGAGUUCAGGAGGUAUCUCUUUUUUUUUUUUUUUUUUUUUUUGAGACGGAGUCUCGCUCUGUUGCCCAGGCUGGAGUGCAGUGGCACAAUCUCAGCUCACUGCAACCUCUGCUUCCCGGGUUCAAGCAAUUCUCCUGUCUCCACCUCCCGAGUAGCUGGCAUUACAGGCACUGCCACCAAGCCUGGCUAAUUUUUGUAUUUUUAGUAGAGAUGGAGUUUCACGAUGUUGGCCAGGCUAGUCUCGAACUCCUGACCUCAAGUGAUCCACCCACCUCAGCCUCUCAAAGUGCUGGGAUAACAGACGUGAGCCACUGCACCCGGCCCAGGAGGUGUCUUAAUCCAUUUGCUGUUGCUACAACAGAGUAACACCGUCUGGGUAAUUCACAGAAGAAGUUUAUUUUGUAAAGUCCUGGAGGCUGGCAAGUCCAAAAGGCAUGGUGCCUGCAUCUGAUGAGAGCCUCUUGCUAUAGUACAACAUAGUGGAGGACUUAUAAUGCCACCAGCUCUGUCCAUGUGGGCCUCGCUUUGAUGAUCUUACCUAAUUCUAAUUGUCUCCUAAGGGUGCCACUCCAAAUACUACAACAUACUAAUUUGAGAGAGAAGUUUCCAACACAUGAAGCUUGGGAGACACAAACCAUACAGGGUGGAGUCAAGACGGCUUGUUUAAUUCGGCCAACUUGAGCAAAGAGGCAUAAUGGUUAUUGCCUCUCUGGGUUCACUAAACACAUAAACAUGCCCACACUAAUAAUUCAUGUCGACCGCAGUACUCUCUGCUUUUCCUGAAUAGCAUAUUGUGUUGAACAGGUUAUACGACCUUGGGUAGAGACUUAGCUCUCUUUAAGCCUCCAUUUCUCAUCUGUAAAAUGAGAAUGAAAGAUGGUUUCUCCGUAUUUAUGGAAGGGUUCCAACAAGGUAAAGUGUGUAGCGUACUUUGUCAAUUCUAAAGCACUCUUCUGAUAUAAAUUAUAGCAUCCCCGGAUUCAUUGUUUGAGUUGGUUUCUUUUUUAAAAUUAAUUUCUGUUGUAUGUAUUUAAGGUGUGCAACAUGAUUUUUUGAUAUAGUGACAUAGUGAAAUGAUUAUAAUUGUUAAGAAAAUGAACACAGCUAUCAUCUCACAUAUUUACCUUUUUUGCGACAAGAGCACCUUAAAUCUACUCUCUUAACAAAAAUCCUAAAUAUGAAAUGUAUUAUAGUCCUUAUAUUUUGCAUUUGAUUUCUAGACUUAUUCUACAUCAUCUAUAACAACCACCAUUUUUUCUAUUUCUAUAUAUUUUCUUUCUUCCUUCCUUCCUUCUUUCCUUUCUUCCUUUUUUCUGAUAAGGAGUCUCGCUCUUUCGCCCAGGCUGGAGUGCAGUGGCGUGAUCUUGGCUCACUGCAAGCUCCGCCUCCCGGGUUCACGCCAUUCUCCUGCCUCAGCCUCCUGAGUAGCUGGGACUGCAGGCACCCACCACCAUGCCCAGCUAAUUUUUUGUAUUUUGUAUUUGCCUUCCUUUCUUUUUCAUUUCCUUCUUUCUGCCUUCUUUUCAUUCUUUUAUUUUUGUAGAUUCUUUAUAUAAGUGAGAUCCAAUACUUUUAACUGAAUGUGAACAUUUCUUUUACAAAAUAAAAUGUAUGUUCAGGCUUUUACUUAAUCCAUGCUAGUAAGAGCCUGGUUCAAAAAUGAGCUGCAGGUUUUUUCAAAGAGAAUCACAAUCAUUUCUGUGGAAUAGGUGAAGUGAAAGACAUUUUUAGAAAGUUUGCAUCUUUUUGCAGAGACUUUUAAUGAAGGGGUUUAUGUUUUCCGCUCUGUUCGUUUACUGAAAGCAAAAGAAGAAAAGUGAGGAAGGGAUUAUACAAAGAAAGUGACUGAAAAAUUCUGAAAAUAUCUGUUUUCAUAAGAUAAGAGCUUUAUUCUAGUUCUGAACAUAUAAUCAUAGUCAUCAUUGUCCUUAUUUAAAUAAAAACAGCUAGCUGGGCAACUUAGUCUCAUUGAAAUUCCUGAGAUCUUCAUUCUUUCUUGGUAUUUGGCUGAAAAAAGAAUAAGUUUAUCUCAUUCUUUUCCCAAAGUAUAGCACAAGGUUGAGAGCCUGGACUCGUGGCAUGCAUACCUAAUGAGACCGUUGUAUUACUUGGGGUGAAACUCCUUCCAUUUGACUUGAUGUAGUUAUUUUCUUUUUCUUGCAAGGGAAGCAAACUUUGGGUUCUACCUGGGUCUUCCUUAAGCAUCAGGUGUGUUUCAAAUGGAUAGAUUUAAUAAUAAUUGAUCCACUAAUAAUUGAUCCACUGGGCAAUGAUUUUUUAAAUGUUUGUUUUCAAAUUUAAAACAAUGCCUCAAGUUUAGAAAUGCCUCUCCUCGGCCGGGC